CAGUCGGUAGAGCAUCAGACUUUUA
rnacentral:piRNA from 4 species